AUACGUAGGGGGCGAGCGUUGUCCGGAAUGAUUGGGCGUAAAGGGCGCGUAGGCGGCCCGGUAAGUCUGGAGUGAAAGUCCUGUUUUUAAGAUGGAAAUUGCUUUGGAUACUGUCGGGCUUGCGUGCAGGAGAGGUAAGUGGAAUUCCCAGCGUAGCGGUGAAAUGCGUAGAGAUUGGGAGGAACACCAGUGGCGAAGGCGACUUACUGGACUGUAACUGACGCUGAGGCGCGAAAGUGUGGGGAGCAAACAGGAUUAGAUACCCUGGUAGUCCACACUGUAAACGAUGAAUGCUAGGUGUAGGGGGUAUCGACCCCUUCUGUGCCGCAGUCAACACAAUAAGCAUUCCGCCUGGGGAGUACGGCCGCAAGGUUGAAACUCAAAGGAAUUGACGGGG
rnacentral:rRNA from 1 species